rnacentral:rRNA from 1 species
GAUGAACGCUGGCGGCGUGCCUAAUACAUGCAAGUCGAGCGAACAGACGAGGAUCUUGCUCCUCUGACGUUAGCGGCGGACGGGUGAGUAACACGUGGAUAACCUACCUAUAAGACUGGGAUAACUUCGGGAAACCGGAUCUAAUACCGGAUAAUAUAUUGAACCGCAUGGUUCAAUAGUGAAAGACGGUUUUGCUGUCACUUAUAGAUGUAUCCGCGCCGCAUUAGCUAGUUGGUAAGGUAACGGCUUACCAAGGCGACGAUGCGUAGCCGACCUGAGAGGGUGAUCGGCCACACUGGAACUGAGACACGGUCCAGACUCCUACGGGAGGCAGCAGUAGGGAAUCUUCCGCAAUGGGCGAAAGCCUGACGGAGCAACGCCGCGUGAGUGAUGAAGGUCUUCGGAUCGUAAAACUCUGUUAUUAGGGAAGAACAAAUGUGUAAGUAACUAUGCACGUCUUGACGGUACCUAAUCAGAAAGCCACGGCUAACUACGUG